rnacentral:tRNA from 1 species
UCCGUCGUAGUCUAGGUGGUUAGGAUACUCGGCUCUCAUCCGAGAGACCUUGGUUCAAGUCCCGGCGGCGAAA